ensembl:sense_intronic 4930405O22Rik RIKEN cDNA 4930405O22 gene
UCACCAGCUUGAUGUCCCAAAUGUGAGCUGAACAAGGAAGGACACCACCAUAAUUAGUUCUAAUAGUGUAUGGGUUCUGAUCUGGAUCAUCAGGAGUUUAGACAUGGGACUUUGGGAGCCUCUCUGUCUUGGGACAGCAAUGCUUAAGAUCUUAGGCGCCUCUACAGCCCAUUUCUAGUAUGUCCUGCCUCACCUUUCACUCACCUGAGUAAGGCAGAACAGGAGGCCAUUCUGGACCCUUGUAUAGCUUUGCACAGGAUGCUCGCAGCAACUCAGUAACAAUGUAGUCAGCAUUGAAGAUGUUGGCUAUCAGAACUCAUUCGUGGCCUGCCUGUAGCCCUUGGCUUGAACCUCAGGAGAAUGCAGCCCAAGAGGAAGAAGUUGGCGCUUGGAAGAAUUAAAUAGAAGGCAAGGUCAAAGCCCGAGCAGUGCACAUGUUUGGAACUGAAAUGGAAUAUUUCUGCCACUUUGCUCCUCUUCUGAUACACCUCAUAUAAUAUAAGACCCCCGUGGAUUCAUGUAAUAAUUAGUAUAGAUGUCUCUUCAUAUUAUUAGCUGACAGUUAACCUCCAUAUGACUUGAAGCAUCCAGUGUUUAAGACAAAUCUGUAGCACUUAUCUUAGGAGAGGUUAGAAGAACGAGAGGCAGCUCUGUGUGAGUGCUAAGGGGCAGGGUUUCCUGAGCAGCUCUGUGGGCGGUUUCUCUAAUGCUUGCUGCAGUGGGCAUCAUGGCCAGUGCUGCUUCCAUUUCCUCGGUGACUGCGCAUAUUUAUUGUAAAGGUGUGUCUUUGUAUUAAUAUGCAACUGGUGUAGGUUUUAAAUGCUGGCUUCCAAUC